rnacentral:rRNA from 1 species
AACGAACGCUGGCGGCAGGCUUAACACAUGCAAGUCGAACGCGCCCUUCGGGGCGAGUGGCAGACGGGUGAGUAACGCGUGGGAACCUACCUUUUGGUACGGAAUAACUCAGGGAAACUUGAGCUAAUACCGUAUGUGCCCUUCGGGGGAAAGAUUUAUCGCCAAAGGAUGGGCCCGCGUCGGAUUAGCUAGUUGGUGGGGUAAUGGCCUACCAAGGCGACGAUCCGUAGCUGGUCUGAGAGGAUGAUCAGCCACACUGGGACUGAGACACGGCCCAGACUCCUACGGGAGGCAGCAGUGGGGAAUAUUGGACAAUGGGGGCAACCCUGAUCCAGCCAUGCCGCGUGAGUGAUGAAGGCCUUAGGGAUGUAAAGCUCUUUCGCCGGUGAAGAUAAUGACGGUAACCGGAGAAGAAGCCCCGGCUAACUUCGUGCCAGCCGCCGCGGUAACAC